UUAAUAUAAAAUGGAAGUGGUAGGAGCACUUUGAAGUUUUCUCUGAAUUUUGCAGUAUAUCACAAAUUCAAAUCUAAACCAUAUGAAUGUUCCAUUAAUAUAGAGAGAGAAAGAGAAAGAUUGCUAAAGAUAGUGGGGGUGUAGGGUAUUUUUGGAAUAAAAAAGAUAGUGUGGAGGUGUAAAAUAAUUUUGAAAGAAAUGAAAAUAGUAGGGAGGUGGAGGGAGCAACACCCAAAAAAAACUUAGAAAUGAAACAAAAAUAACAAAGAUCUUACUAAAGAAUAACAAAAACUGGUUAGAGAAGAAAAAAAGAAAACAAAACCUUGAACUCCUGAAACAAAAAUGGUAAUUGAAAAAAUGUACUUCUUUUUUUCAACGACGCGAAAAGAGUAAAAAGAUUGCAAAAGGAAACAAAAUAAAUGAGAUGCUAGUAAAUAAGAACACAACAAAAAAAUAGAACAAAUCUACAAAAGGAAUGAAAAUAACUCAUAUCUUACUCAAGAACAGAAAUUAGUUACAAAAAUGAAAAAAACUUAAAUGCAUGAAACAAAAAUUGCGAUUGAAG
rnacentral:lncRNA from 1 species